rnacentral:rRNA from 1 species
ACGGAGGAUGCAAGCGUUAUCCGGAUUCAUUGGGUUUAAAGGGUGCGCAGGUGGGAAUGUAAGUCAGUGGUGAAAUACUGCCGCUUAACGGUAGAGCUGCCAUUGAUACUGCGUUUCUUGAGUAUGGUUGAGGUAGGUGGAAUGUGUUGUGUAGCGGUGAAAUGCAUAGAUAUGACACAGAACGCCGAUUGCGAAGGCAACUUACUAAGCCAUUACUGACGCUGAGGCACGAAAGCGUGGGUAGCGAACAGGAUUAGAUACCCUGGUAGUCCACGCCGUAAACGAUGUUCACUCGCUGUUUGCGAUACACAGUAAGCGGCUGAGCGAAAGCAUUAAGUGAACCACCUGGGGAGUACGAUCGCAAGGUUG